rnacentral:rRNA from 1 species
UACGUAGGGGGCUAGCGUUGUCCGGAAUCAUUGGGCGUAAAGAGCGUGUAGGCGGCCCGGUAAGUCCGCUGUAAAAGUCAAAGGCUCAACCUUUGAAUGUCAGUGGAUACUGCCGGGCUAGAGUCCGGAAGAGGCGAGUGGAACUCCUGGUGUAGCGGUGGAAUGCGCAGAUAUCAGGAGGAACACCAAUGGCGAAGGCAGCUCGCUGGGACGUGACUGACGCUGAGACGCGAAAGCGUGGGGAGCAAACAGG